rnacentral:rRNA from 1 species
CCCUUAGAUGUUCUGGGCCGCACGCGUGCUACACUGAGUGGAUCAGCGGGUCAGGUUGCGCGAAAGCGUUUCCUAAUCUUUAAAUCCGCUCGUGAUGGGGAUUGACGGUUGCAAUUUUCUGUCAUGAACGAGGAAUACCUUGUAAGCGCGGGUCAUCAUCCCGCGCUGAAUACGUCCCUGCCCUUUGUACACACCGCCCGUCGCUACUACUGAUUGGGUGUUCAAGUGAGAUGCUUAGACCCUUGUUGCAUGGUUCAUUAUUGUGCUCCGAAAGGAAAAAGUUUCAAGCUUGAGUGUCUAGAGGAAGUAAAAGUCGUAACA